rnacentral:rRNA from 1 species
AUGAAAACUGUUAGUCCUGUCCAGCUAGAUUUUGAGGAAAUGGAAGUGCAAGUCACACUGAAAUCAGGAGAAAAGAAAAUCUUCAAGGAUGAAAGCUUACCCAGUGAGCCAGUUCAAGAAAUGGACAGCAUGGAGCACUUAUCUGAUGACACUAUCUGUGGGGCUGUGUUGCUACUAAACAAAAUUGCUCUGACAGAACAUAAGGACACUGUUGUUCCCCUACCUGUCCAAGAACUUCUAGGUCAGUACAAGGAUAUUUUUGGAACUCCUACUGAUUUACCUCCUAAGAGAAAUGUUGAUCAUGCAAUUCCUUUUGAACAUGGUGCAAAAGUUAUAAACCAAAGGCCAUACAGAUUACCUUAUCACCAAAAGGAAGCUAUGGAAAAUAUCAUUCAGGAAAUGAUUAAAAAUAAGGUAAUCAAAGAUAGUUCAAGUCCUUACUCCUCUCCUGCAAUUUUGGUGAAAAAGAAAGAUCUAUCUUGGAGACUUUGCAAUGACUUCAAAAAGGUCAAUACUCAGACUAUCAAAAACAAAUACCCCAUCCCUGUUAUUGAGGAUUUGUUGGAUGAAUUGCAUGGAGCCACUGUUUUCACUAAGCUUGAUCUCAGAAGUGGAUACCAUCAGAUCAGAAUGAAGGAAGAGGAUAUUGAGAAAACUGCUUUUAGCACUCACUGUGGGCACUAUGAAUACUUGGUUAUGCCCUUUGGUUUAACCAAUGCUCCUGCAACUUUCCAAAUGCUCAUGAAUACUAUCUUAGCCAAGUAUCUCAGAAAAUUUGUACUAGUAUUCUUUGAUGAUAUUUUGGUGUUCAGUAAAAAUAUGAAGGAGCACAUAAUCCACUUGCAACAAAUAUUUGAAACUCUCAAGGAACACCAGCUGUAUAUUAAAGCAAGCAAAUGUGUCUUUGCUCAGCCUCAGGUGGAGUACUUGGGACAUGUUAUUAGGGCUGAUGGAGUUGCAACUGACCCAGUCAAAAUUCAGGCUGUACAGCAAUGGCCAGAACCUGAAAAUGUCACACAGCUCAGGAGCUUUUUAGGGUUGACAAGUUACUAUAGAAGAUUUGUGGAAAAGUAUGGACUCAUUUGCAGGCCACUGUUUAACUCCCUGAAAAAGGACAGUUUCACUUGGGGGCAAGAGCAAGUUCAAGCUUUCAAUACCCUGAAGAACAAAAUGACACAAGCCCCAGUGUUGGCCCUACCAGACUUCUCCAAGCCUUUCAUCUUGGAAACAGAUGCUUGUGCCUAUGGACUGGGUGCAGUUCUAAUGCAAGAGGGGAGACCUAUUUCCUUUUUCAGUAAAGCAAUUGGCCCUAGAGCAGCUGCAUAUUCCACUUAUGACAAGGAAGCUUUAGCAAUUAUUGAAGCUCUCAAGCACUGGAAACAUUAUUUUGUUGCAUCCUCUCUCAUAAUCAGAACUGAUCAACAGAGUUUAAAAUAUAUACAAGAACAAAAACUCACCGAGGAUUCAGCACAAGCUUCUGGUCAAACUCCUUGGCUACAAUUACACUGUGGAGUACAAGCAGGGCAAGAAAAAUAA